UGAGGAAUAUUGGUCAAUGGGCGCGAGCCUGAACCAGCCAAGUCGCGUGAGGGAUGACGGUCCUACGGAUUGUAAACCUCUUUUGCCGGGGACGCAAGCGUGCGUUCGUGAACGCACGUCGAGAGUACCCGGAGAAAAGCAUCGGCUAACUCCGUGCC
rnacentral:rRNA from 1 species